GGAAAUGCCAUAGGUCAGUGGUAAAGCCUCUACAUUUUAUGCAGAAGGUUCCAGGUUCAAGCCCCGGCAUCUCCA